UCUUCAAGUUUGAACAGUUAAAGGAAAGGCCUUGGACUCAUGGUUUCCCUUAUCUAUGUUUGCUCGCUAAUGAAAUUACUAGCUGAGAGUAAUUAUCAUUUAAAGUAUGAUAAGAUUAAGACAGCAUGGAAAAGACUAGAGGACAGGUUUUCCAAUUUAUAAAGGAAAUAUGAUUUCAUCGUUGUUUAUUUAGCCUGACUUAAAGAGCAGAUCCAAAGAACUUGUU
rnacentral:lncRNA from 1 species